GUGCCACUGAGGGGUUGUGGCUCCACAUCGAUGCUGCGUAUGCAGGCACGGCCUUCCUGUGCCCCGAGUUCCGGGGGUUUCUGAAGGGCAUCGAGUACGCCGAUUCCUUCACCUUUAAUCCCUCCAAGUGGAUGAUGGUGCACUUUGACUGUACUGGCUUCUGGGUCAAGGACAAGUACAAGCUGCAGCAGACCUUCAGCGUGAACCCCAUCUACCUCAGGCAUGCCGACUCAGGCACAGCAACUGACUUCAUGCACUGGCAGAUCCCCCUGAGCCGGCGGUUUCGCUCUAUCAAACUCUGGUUCGUGAUUCGGUCCUUUGGCGUGAAGAAUCUUCAAGCGCACGUCA